GAUGAACGCUAGCGGCAGGCUUAAUACAUGCAAGUCGAGGGGUAGCAAGAUUGUAGCAAUACAAUUGUUGACGACCGGCAAACGGGUGCGGAACACGUACACAACCUUCCUACAAGUGGGGAAUAGCCCAGAGAAAUUUGGAUUAAUACCCCGUAACACAGCGAUGUGGCAUCACAUUGCUAUUAUAGCUUCGGCGCUUGUUGAUGGGUGUGCGGCUGAUUAGAUUGUUGGCGGGGUAACGGCCCACCAAGGCUACGAUCAGUAGCUGAUGUGAGAGCAUGAUCAGCCACACGGGAACUGUGACACGGGCCCGACUCCUACGGGAGGCAGCAGUAAGGAAUAUUGGACAAUGGACGCAAGUCUGAUCCAGCCAUGCCGCGUGAAGGAUUAAGGUCCUCUGGAUUGUAAACUUCUUUUAUAAGGGACGAAAAAAGGUCUUUCUAGAUCGUCUGACGGUACCUUAUGAAUAAGCACCGGCUAACUCCGUGCCAGCCGCCGCGGUAACAC
rnacentral:rRNA from 1 species